rnacentral:lncRNA from 1 species
GGCCAAGGGAAGAAGGGAGUAAGACAGUGGAAGUAUCAGUCAGGAUAGAAGCUGCAUCAACAACUUACUCGAAUCACCUUGAGACUGGAUUGACUAAGUUCAAGGUUAGUCGACCUAGUCCAGAGGUGGGUCGACUAUGUCUCAGGUGGAGGGUCAGACAGAAAUAGAGAGUUUCAGUAUUUCAGGCUGGCAUACUUUUUGAGUUGACUAA